CCCUACGGGGGGCAGCAGUAGGGAAUCUUCCAUAAUGGGCGAAAGCCUGAUGGAGCAACGCCACGUGGGUGAAGAAGGUCUUCGGAUCGUAAAACCCUGUUGUUAGAGAAGAAAGUGCGUGAGAGUAACUGUUCACGUUUCGACGGUAUCUAACCAGAAAGCCACGGCUAACUACGUGCCAGCAGCCGCGGUAAUACGUAGGUGGCAAGCGUUAUCCGGAUUUAUUGGGCGUAAAGGGAACGCAGGCGGUCUUUUAAGUCUGAUGUGAAAGCCUUCGGCUUAACCGGAGUAGUGCAUUGGAAACU
rnacentral:rRNA from 1 species